rnacentral:lncRNA from 1 species
GAAAUCAGUCCCGCACCAGGUGGACAGAGCUUGUCUCCCACUGCGAUCCUGCACGAGCUCUUCUGCUGGUGUCCAUAAAUAAGCCAGAUCACCUCAAAAGAGCAACUUCAUCUCCAGCUCUGGUCCAGCAUGUGAGCUCCCAGUUCCUUCUUAAGUAGUUCCUGUGGCUCCUACACAAGCUUCCCUGCCUCCCAGUUCUAUAAAACUGACAGCAAGCUUUAUUUAGAAGCCUUUGAGCGGGCUUAACUCCCCAGCAGUUUUCUUAGGUGUAUGCAGAAGUAUAUACUACACUGUGUGCUCACGUGUGUACACACACACACACACACAGAGAGAGAGAGAGAGAAGCUCAACCCAGCAUCCCCUCUGGGAAAAGGCAGCCCACCUUGAGAAGUAACCUUUAGGGAGAAUCAAAGCUCUGCAAGUGGAACCUUGUUUUCCUUAACUAUUCAUCCAACUAACGCUUCAUCUUCUCUAUCAAAAAGGUGUAUACUACACACCAUUUGCAAAACUUGAAUCUUACGGGAGUCAACUCCCAUUUGCUAGCUACAGAUAUAUCUGUUUGCUGACAUGAAGAAAAUCUGGAAAACUACACUUGUGUUUCAAUCAUCUUAACUUGACUACAAGGAUUGUAAUCCCCAGCAGGAGAAAGCAGAAUCUGAGAGGCGAACUGAGUAUCUCAAGUGGACAUACUAUGCAGACCAGUGAAGAAGUAGUAAGCCUGGAGUCGGCCAGCAUCCAGACCACACACCGGGGCCAUGACACACUUGAGAGGCUUCUCAAGACCCCAGUUUGCACAGACUGUGUCUCUCCAAAUAUAACAGAUGUGAUCCACUCCAAGCAAAAAGUUCCGAAGCUCAGAGAACAAUGGGAAGAUGACAGUGAUGCGUCCGGAUUUCUUAUUUCUGUCAACACUUACUGGAUUCUUUUCUCUUCUCACGGGAAUAAAGAGAAUGCAGCAAAAGUAAUAGGCC